rnacentral:rRNA from 1 species
ACGGCUCAGUAACACGUGGACAAUCUGCCCUGAAGAGGAGGAUAAUCCCGGGAAACUGGGGGUAAUACUCCAUAGUUCGUGCUGACUGGAAUCUUAUGCCAACGAAAGAUCCGUCGCUUCAGGAUGAGUCUGCGGCCGAUUAGGUAGUUGUUGGGGUAACGGCCCAACAAGCCUGUCAUCGGUACGGGUUGUGGGAGCAAGAGCCCGGAGAUGGAUUCUGAGACACGAAUCCAGGCCUACGGGGCGCAGCAGGCGCGAAAACUUUACCAUGCGGGCAACAGCGAUAAGGGAACCUCGAGUGCCAGGUUACAAAUCUGGCUGUCGAGAUGCCUAAAAAGCAUUUCAUAGCAAGGGCCGGGCAAGACCGGUGCCAGCCGCCGCGGUAACACCGGCGGCUCGAGUGGUAACCGUUAUUAUUGGGUCUAAAGGGUCUGUAGCCGGCCGGAUAAGUCUCUUGAGAAAUCUGGCAGCUUAACUGUCAGGCUUUCAGGAGAUACUGUCUGGCUCGAGGCCGGGAGAGGUGAGAGGUACUUCAGGGGUAGGGGUGAAAUCUUGUAAUCCUUGAAGGACCACCAGUGGCGAAGGCGUCUCACCAGAACGGACCUGACGGCAAGGGACGAAAGCUAGGGGCACGAACCGGAUUAGAUACCCGGGUAGUCCUAGCCGUAAACGAUACUCGCUAGGUGUCGGCCACGGUGCGACCGUUGUCGGUGCCGUAGGGAAGCCGUGAAGCGAGCCACCUGGGAAGUACGGCCGCAAGGCUGAAACUUAAAGGAAUUGGCGGGGGAGCAC